rnacentral:SRP_RNA from 1 species
GCCAGGCAUUGUGGCGGGCGCCUGUAGUCCCAGCUACUUGGGAGGCUGAGGCAGGAGACUUGCUUGAGUCCAGGAGUUGGAGGUUGCUGUGAGCUUGAUGCCAUGGCACUCUGCCCAGGGGGAUAGCUUGAGGCUCCAUCUCAAAAAAAAAAAAAAAAAAAAAGAAGGGUCCUUACAGGUUUUGUUUCUUUUUUCUUUCUUUCUUUUUUUUUUUUUGAGACAGAGCCUCAAGCUGUCACCCUGGAUAGAGUGCCGUGGCAUCACAGCUCACAGCAACUUCCAAAUCCUGGGCUCAAGCGUAUCUCCUGCUUCUG